UCUCUCCUACACCUGGGAAUUUCCUUGUUCUGUGGGCAAGAAAGAUCCGUCUGGAAAUGCGGCUUUGACUCAUCCUCUGCGCAUUCACUGAGAGCUGCGAUCCUGAGUUGUUCUUACCAUGCCAUCUUGAAUCAAGUGCCAGGAGAGGACUUGUUGGCAUCUGAGAGGAAGAAAACAACUGUGCAUGUCCAGAAUCCCCAGUGCAGCUUUGGGGGGUGGUCCCCAGAGGAGACCCAGAUGUCACUGGGAACCCCUCCAGUAGGGUGGGGCCAAGCUCUUCUGACCCCAGCCGGGCUUCCUGCCUGGACCCUGUGGAAUUGCUCAACAAGAUUCAGCACUGCAGCCUGGGGCCAGGAGUCAGGACAAUGCCAAGACAGUGGGCAGGAGGGCUGCAGAGGGACUUUAUGGGCCCUGAAGGCCCAGAGCAUUGACUGCCACGAUAAGACCAGGUCCCUCAGGAGAAUGAUGAGAGGGAAAGAGGGAGAAGGCCAGAGCUAGAGGAGCUCAUGAGUCAGAGGGUGAGAGAGAAGAGGAAGGAGACAAUUACGUGCUGAUGGUCGUCUGCACUCUUGGACUCUUCCAUAUCUGCUCCAGCAGCUUCAGGGUGUUGGGAGCAGCAGUGGUGAUGGGGCAGCCAUGGGAAGGAAAGGGGAGAGUGAGACCUGAGGAGGCACUCGGCCCCUGCUGUCCUGAGGCUGCGGAGCCAACCCCACAGGCUUCGGUGUGCUCAUCUCCAGAUCCUCCGCAGCCUGGAUCACUUCCUACAGCGAGGGAGGAGCCUCUGUCUUCCCAUACACUUUCCCAGCCCUCACAUCCUGUAACUGCCCAGGCAGGGAAGGCCAAGGCUGUGUCAUCCCAUUCCUCCAAGAGGCAGCCACCAUUUCCAGGACGUUGUGCACAGUAUGUGAUUCCCUCCCUCCUCCUCUAGGGCCUAUCUCUGCUCUUCUGAUGAAUCCCAUGUCUUUUCUCCCUAUCACCAAUCCCGCUGCUCUCCAACAAAACACAGGAGGGAAGAGCAGGACUGCACCACCAGGCCUUCCAUAAACCCAUGGGUUGCACCCUAGGUGGGCAGCACCUGCCACAGACCUGGGGCUCAGUUGGAGCCUGUGGGACGGGGUGACAACUGAUGUCACAGAUUGACUGUUGUAUGCCUGGGAUGACCUUAGGGACCUGGAAAAUACUCAACCCUCACAAGAAUUCCACAAGCUACUGGAAGCUUAGAAACGCUGUAACGGGACUCUAGACAAAGCCCCAUGUCCCACUGCCUUAAUCCUCAAGGGAGACUGUGGUUCUCAGCACAUGAAUGAACGGGCCCUGCCCGUUUUACCUGAGAUGUGGGAGGACUGGGCGGGAGGGCACCUGGCAGGCCUGACACAGAAAACAAGCUGGGCCUGACUGCAGUGUGGGGUGCAGGACAAGGAUGUCAGGCCAGAACGGAGGGUGUAACAAGACAAGUGACCCUGGUGCCAGCUGCCCAGCGGCUCUGUCCUGGGCCCAGUGGAUUCCAGGAACCAGGUUAUAAGAAGGGUGUGAGCCUGCAGCAACACACAGCCACUCCACACACACACCCUAGGAUUCCUGCUGGCCACAGAGGACCUCGGUGACAGCUGGACACUGAAUUCUCCAAACCAAUUCAGCUUCCAUUCGUAGCUCAAGGACUAGGGACUGGGUGAGAAGUGGAGGCCAGAGCCGUGCUCCAGCAUGGGAUUCCCCCUUGGGUCUCUAGGAUGGGGGCACACUGAGUAAUCCCAAAGGAGGAUUCUCUAUUUCAGGAGAGCCAGGGAGUGCCCUGUGACCAGGAGCAGAUGCUGAGGGCUGGACAGGAAGGUGCUGCUGCAGGUCCCCAGAGUGCAGAGGGAGAGGGUAAGCUCUUGCCACUUCCUGGCACAUGCAUGAAGGACUUUGUGUCCAGGGUGACAGAGCACCUGUGAGGGGCCGUGUCCCACCUCACUCCCCAUACAGUACUGAAUGCCACAUCCACACACUCAUCUCUUGUUCCCAUUCAAAAACGACACUAUGCCCCCUCCCCCUGCAAAACCCACGGCUUUCAUGUUUCCUAUGGCACAGGCAGGAGAGACCGGGCCUCCUGGAAAAGAUAUUGCUCAUCAGGGAAUGAAUCAUGGGGAUGAGCAGAGCACACGCGACGCCCAUGGAAACAAAACUCCUUCCAUUUCUCAUUAACAUGCAGAAAGAAAAAACCACACCUUUAUACCUGAGCAUGUCGAAUGCUUGUGAAAAUCGGGUUAUCGAACACAAUAGAGUAUGUCCCUGAUUAUUUUUCUGCUUCAGACCAGGAGCUGAGGAAUGAUGCCACCACUACCACCAACCACCUGUGAGCUCGCUUCUCUGUGUUUCACAUUAAUAAAUGCACAUAGAAAAGUCCAGCAUAACACGUACCUACUAAUACCCUGCGUCAGGCAGCCCUUGAGAGAGACUUCCCUAAAAUAACAGAGAGUGUUUGGGACCUCUCAGGACUCUUAUCCUUGCACAUGCACAAACAGAUGCCAGAACUGCCUGGCAUAAUGACGAGUUCUACCAGGGCCGCCUGGUGACCCACUGCAUCAACCCUCCUCCCAUUUCCGGAGUUCACAUUUGCUUCUUCCAUUUGGGAGACUGAGAGCCUGGGAAAUCCAUCUCUGCACCAUCUCUGUCUGAGGAGUGAGGAUAUGACAUUUACCUUCAGGUACAGCCGUGGUGGAGGAUGAAUGGGUGAAUUUAGGUGACAUGUGCAGUAGCAAUUCAAUGUUUUAGACAGUGUUUCUGAAUUUUCUGGGAAAACGCGCAUACACUCCUAAAGACAUUCCCAAUCACUCCACAGGGCUGUCUCCUCCAUACCUCACCGCCCUGAGGCACACCACCCUAUUCCAUCUAAAUGGCAGUUCUGCCUCCAGGGACUCGAGAGGAUGGUCACAGUUCUUUACUGGAUGGACUGAGCGUUUUUUAAACCAAACUGCCCCUAUCUCCUUUCUGUCAGGAAGCUCAAACCAAAGCGGCCCUCCAGCAAAAGCAGGAGAGUAAAGUGCCACCUGUUGCCACACUCAAGAUCUUUCCUGAGCGGAGGAGCGCUCCCAGAAUACACACCUUUUUCCUUGGAGGGUUCCUCUGCUUGCAUGGACAGAAAGGAAAACACUGUGAGCUUCAGACCAUCCUGAGGCUUGAGUGUACAGGUCUUUUCUUCAUUGUUGACAUUAGAAGACCAGAUGGGAAAGAGUGUCCAAGUCAAAGGAACACAGAAGAAGAACAGGACAACUGACUCACGCUAACGUCGUUCUCGCAGGAUAUUCCCUCUCAAGGUCCUGUGACUUGGCAGUGAAGUGAUUCUGCCCCAAGCACGGAAUCAAGCUGCAGAGGAGGAAGCUCACUGUCACUAAGUGUGUGGCUGGUGCUGCCAUUUUCUCCUCCUGUCUUAAAUCAAGCCUCAGUGGGGAACAGACUCUCACUCGGAAUUCUCCCCACCAAAGACACUGUAUAAAUCACCUAUGACACAUAGGGUCAGAUUCUCCUACCGUACUGAAAUUCAAAAGGGUAAAGUCAAGAAAUCUUUUCUCCAACCAAACCAGGUGGACUGACCUACCCCUGUGGUGGCUCCUCCUCAUCUGAGGAUUGGUAGGAGAACUUUUCCAGCAAGGUAUAUUCUGUGGGAAGUAAAAGGACACAGAGUGAGUCAGCAGGUGCAGAAGAGGAGCAGGGAAGAGAGGUUUUCUAGCCCCAGGUCACCCCAUCAACGUGAAAUAGCCCAUCUCAAACAGGGCACAGCACCCAGGGCAGGCUGUGUGUCCCUGCCGGCUCUUCAGGCUCCUGCCUCCUAAUCUGACUUGAGCUCACUUGCCCUCCCUUCCUGAGUCCUUCCAAUCUCAUUUCCCCCCUAGAAUCCACCUCUGGUGCUUCUGUGUGCAUCAGUCAUUCUGCAAUAUGUUAUACUUGGUAAAAAGCAACCUUUCUUCUGAGACAUCUCCUUUGAGCCAAAUACACGGUAUGUUCACCAGGCUUCUGUACUGAAGACAAUAAAGCUUUGAAAAUACUUAGUUGUCCUCUCCUUUAAAGGACGCCCCUAUUUAGCAAGUGCUAUCUGUCCUUGCACUGACCUUCUCAACGCAACAUCUGCGUGUGUCAAGAGUCCAUUGCUGCUCACACUCACACUGGCUCUGACACUGGAACAGUCUGUCAGGGGAGCAGCAGGUGGGGGAAUUGACCAGAGCUCUCCAUCCCAGCCGUGCAGCAGGUUCCUGCGGGGAAGAUGGCUUCUGUUACCCAAGCUGGAGUGGUGUGACAUGAUCACCGUUCACUGGAACCUGCACCUCCAGGGAUUAAGUGACCUUCCCCACUCUGCCAUCCAGGUAGCUGGCACAAAACGCACGCCACCACACCCAGGUAACUUUUUGUAUUUUUAGUCGAUAUGAACUUUCACCACGUUGCCUAGGCCGAUCUCCAACUCCUGGACUCAAGGAAUCCCCUCGCCUCGACCUCUCAAGGUGCCAGGAUUACAGGCAUGAGCCAUGCACCCGGCCCACCUGAGCAAAUCGGGUUAUCGAACACAAUAGAGUACGUCCCUGAUUAUUUCUCUGCUUCAGACCAGGAGCUGAGGAAUGAUGCCACCACUACCACCAACCACCUGUGAGCUCGCUUCUCUGUGUUUCACAUUAAUAAAUGCACAUAGAAAAGUCCAGCAUAACAUAUACCUACUGAUAUCCUGUGUCCGGCAGCCCUUGAGACUUCCCUAAAAUGACAGAGAGUGUUUGGGACCUCUCAGGACUCUUAUCCUUGCACAUGCACAAACAGAUGCCAGAACUGCCUGGCAUAAUGACGAGUUCUACCAGGGCCGCCUGGUGACCCACUGCAUCAACCCUCCUCCCAUUUCCAGAGUUCACAUUUGCUUCUUCCAUUUGGGAGACAGAGCCUGGGAAAUCCAUCUCUGCACCAUCUCUGUCUGAGGAGUGAGGAUAUGACAUUUACCUUCAGGUACAGCCGUGGUGGAGGAUGAAUGGGUGAAUUUAGGUGACAUGUGCAGUAGCAAUUCAAUGUUUUAGACAGUUUUUCUGAAUUUUGUGGGAAAACACACAUACACUCCUAAAGACAUUCCCAAUCACUCCACACGGCUUUCUCCUCCAUACCUCGUCGCCCUGAGGUACAUACACCACCCUAUUCCAUCUAAAUGGCAGUUCUGCCUCCAGGGACUCGAGAGGAUGGUCACAGUUCUUUACUGGAUGGACUGAGCGUUUUUUAAACCAAACUGCCCCUAUCUCCUUUCUGUCAGGAAGCUCAAACCAAAGCGGCUCUCCAGCAAAAGCAGGAGAGUAAGUGCCACCUGUUGCCACACUCAAGAUAUUUCCUGAGCGGAGGAGCGCUCCCAGAAUACACACCUUUUUUCUUGGAGGGUUCCUCUGCCUGCAUGGAGAGAAAAACACUGUGAGCUUCAGACCAUCCUGAGGCUUGAGUGUACAGGUCUUUUCUUCAUUGUUGACAUUAGAAGACCAGAUGGGAAAGAGUGUCCAAGUCAAAGGAACACAGAAGAAGAACAGGACAGCUGACUCACGCUAACGUCGUUCUCGCAGGAUAUUCCCUCUCAAGGUCCUGUGACUUGGCAGUGAAGUGAUUCUGCCCCAAGCACGGAAUCAAGCUGCAGAGGAGGAAGCUCACUGUCACUAAGUGCGUGGCUGGUGCUGCCAUUUUCUCCUCCUGUCUUAAAUCAAGCCUCAGUGGGGAACAGACUCUCAGAAUUCUCCCCACCAAAAACACUGUAUAAAUCACCUAUGACAAAUAGGGUCAGAUUCUCCUACCGUACUGAAAUUCAAAAGGAUAAAGUUAAGAAAUCUUUUCUCCAACCAAACCAGGUGGACUGACCUUCCCCUGUGGUGGCUUUUACUCAGGGAAGAAUCUUGCAUGGUAUUCUUCCACCACUUUAAUUUCUGUUGGAAGUAAAAGGACAUAGUGACUUUCAGCAGGUACAGAAGAGGAGCAGUUAAGAGAGGUUUUCUUGCCUUAGGUCACCUCAUCAAUGUGAAAUAGCCCAUCUGAAACAGGGCACAGCACCCAGGGCAAGCUGUGUGUCCCUGCAGGCUCUUCAGGCUCCUGACGUCUCAUUUGACCUGAGCUUAUUUGCCCUUUUUUCCUGUGUCCUUUCAAGCUUAUUUUCUUUUAAGAACACACCUGUGGUGCUUCUGUGAAUAUCAUCCCUUUUGGAGACUUUCUACAAAAUAGCAAGCAGCUUUUAUUCAAAAAGAAAAACUGAUUUGUGAUCAAAACAUUUUAUUCACUAACCGUAUUUUUAGGGUAUAUCUUAUUUUUAUAUACACACAAACAUGCUCGAACUUCCUGGCGUGGUGAGAACUUCCAACAGAGCUGUCUGAUGCAGUUUCAGCCUGUCCUUCCACUCUUUACCACCCAUUCCUGAGAUCACUUUGCCUAUUUCAUUCAGGAAAUUGACAGCCUGGGUAACUUAUCUCUCCACCCUCUUCCAUCUCAGGACUCAGCAUGUUCAACUCCCCUCCCUGUACAGCUGUGGCAAAGUAUGAGUGUUGACUAACGUGAUGUGUCCAAUGGGGAUGGAGGUUUGUUUCUAGAACAUUCAUAUGUGCUUUGAACAGGGGAACACCCUUUCUAGAGAAAUUGACACACACACUCCCAUAGGCAUUCCCCAUCACUCCACACAGACUCUCUCCUCCAUGCCUCCCCACCCUGAUGUACCCCUGUUCCUUUUUAAAUGACAUCACUGCUUCUGGGAACUAGAGUGGAUGGCCACAGGUGUUGGCUAAACUUUUCAUUUUUCUUACACCAAAUUGUCCAAACCUCAUUUCCAGCAGGAAUGUCACACUAGGGUGGCUCUCCAGCCAAAGCAGGGAGAAAAGUGUCAGUUUCUCAACAUUACGAUAUUUCCUUAGCAAAGGGAUGACACCAGAGUACGUACCACUUUCCAAAGAUGCGUUUUUCUGCAGAGAGAAAGGAAAACACUGUGAGCAUCAGACCAUGCUGUGUCCUCUGUGCACAGGUCUUUUGUUUACAUGAUGACAUUAAACACUCAGAAAGGAAACAGUGCUUGAGGCCAUGGCCAGAAAAUAAAGCCUAAAGGACACUUGUGGAAAGGUACAAAAGUUUCAUGAAGAUUUUCAAAAUGAUUUUAGUUGCAGAGUCACCAUGAUUUUAUAAAAAUAUGCAUUUCCCAUGAGGAAAAUGCUCUGCCAUGCAGUUUGUCACUAAAGCUGUCAUCUGUGGGUGCCGUUUUGAAUCAGUUCUUCGUUGGUAAUGGACUCUUACUUACAUUUGCCCACCAAGAAAUUCUGCAAUUCAUCUAUAAUUUCCAUGGUGAGAUUUGCAUGACAUAAUUUAAAUGAAGUGGAAAGAAACCAAGAGAAAUAAAAUUCCCAUCUCAGACAAAGAAUAAGGACUUUACCCAAUAAAGAGCUACGGCAGCUUCUGGGCUCAUCACGCCGAACAUUCCUGCCACUUCCUUUUUGAAAUCUAGGAAACACAGAGUCACUGUCAGCCGUGGGAGCUGCUGAAGACCCUCUGGCAGCCCUGGGUGCUGAAGACACAGGGUUGGUGUAUGGAGGAGGUGGGGUAAGAGCAGGGGCUGAGCUGCCGCUGGGCCACCCUCCUUGGUGGUGAAAGAAGGCAAAGGACACCAUCAGGAGAGCCCUGGGGGACAGAGCCUCAAGUCUCUGGCUAAGCCACCCUCAUCACUGUGAAGUAGGCAGUGUUCACAGAGGCAGCACACAAGUGCACGGCAGGACUCCAGGACAGGGUCUCCACACAGAAAGAGGCCUGUUGCAGACUUCAGGAGCAGAUGGGACAACAGCAGCAAACACGGAGGGGAGCCCACACACUUUUCCCUGACCCUGAAUCAGAACCCACACAGGAACCUGCAUUUGUAUGACUCAGCAGACUGCAGAGGGUGACCGGGAAGCCUUUUCACACUCGUGCUUUCUCAGUACAGGGCUGUGUGCACGAGAACAUCACUGGGGCCCCCAAGAUGGGCUGCCCAGGGCUAAGCCCUGGGAUGAGAAGGAAGAAGGACAGAGCCCCUGCCCUGACAGUGACCAGCCAGGGCCAGCAUUUUCUCAUUGAUGAAUGGCAGGUCACAGACUGUGAGACUGAUGAUUCCAAGCCUAUCUUAGAAAAACUGGCAAAGUGAUGUCUUAUGGGUCAGAAGGGAGAUGUGCAGGAACACCUGGCCUCUGGGGCAGCCCCUCCCUUUCCCAAGCUCACCCUGCACUGGAAUUGGCUCCCCUCCCACCUCUGCUGCAACUAGUGUGAUGCAGCUGCCCUGGCCAGGGGCUGUGAGGCUUCCUUUGGUUAAAUGGGAUUCUGGGAUAGACCAACCUUGGCCAACAGCAUCUACACAAGGACCGGCUGUCAGUCAACUUCCAGAAGCUGGGGAAAAGUAAAUGCUGUUCUCUGUCCCAGUCACAGGGAUAGCAGGCCUGGGGUUGGUGCUAUGUCUGACCCGACCCUGAUGUCCACCCCUGCUCAUCAUAUCCCCUCAUCUAAGUCAGAUAUCUUAGGAACUCCCUUCUGUUCUUUGCCUCUCACUAAUUUCUGAUUGUGUUAUUGCCAUCAUCACAGAAAGGUGAAGAAGACAAAUGAAACAGCGGCUCCUCUCUCCAGGCUCAUAGAACGGUGGCCGGGCAGUGCUCACGCCAGCCCUGAAGUCCAAGCUCUGCUCAUUCCCCGUAGAUGCGGCCCAAACAUCCUGGCUGCACCCAGGGCAUGACAUUGAACUAUCUCUCCCGGCCUUUCAACCUUGCCUUCCCCAUGGCAUGAAUGUCUUCAUGUCUUCUUCCUGCUCCUCUGCAUCAUGUUACUUUUGAGGCCGAGGGGCCAAGGCUGUGCCCUGCUCAUGGAGCGCACUGUACAGCUCGCCAUGAAUUUUUAGAACCUCAAUGUUGGUAACACUGAUUUGUACCUUUAAUCGCACACAGUAGAAGGCCACCAAGGUGUCACACAAAAACUGUGCUCUAGAGAUUAAAGAUGACUAGGGGAAUUUGGUUCUGAGGACAUACUUUUGAGGGAAACAAGGGACAUUUUAAAAUCACAUGGCCUCAUAUGGAAAAGUAGGAAAGUACUGUCACGUACAUAGCAAUGCAAAUUGCAUACAAUAAGUUUCUACCAAAUGCACAAUCCAAAAAAAUUAUGCUCAAACCAUAAUUUGGCUCAUUUUAUAUUCAUGUGGACUGAAAUCAACCACCUUGACUUGUUUUUCACAGGGCUCUGUGGCAAAGAAGAACAUUUGUCAACAGAGGGUGUAAUGGGAGAAGCAUCGUGGAGCUUCUGCCAUCCCACAGCCGAGUCUUGUCUUUCCCACCUCAUGCCUGAGCCUUGGACAUCCUGCCAGGAGGAAGGCAAGGGCUCACUCUACCUCUCAGGCCCUCGGGCAAAGCCCUUGGUCCCCUUGUCCUCUUCCUGUGUUCCCUGAGCUGAGCACACAGAAACCAUGACUGGGCUGAGUGCUGGAGGCUGGGCCUCUACAUUGCCCCGGCAUUAUCUAUUCUGGGCCACAUUAGCUGAUGGUCAAUAUGAGGCCACAGUGGAGAGAGUCAUGUGAUUUUACCCCAACCCUCCGUGCAGGCUCCACUUUUCUCAGUCUCCUACCAAAACUGGUUAUAGCAUGGGGCUGCCCCAGGGUCUCCCUGCACAGGAAGGAGCCCCGCCCCACUCUGCAUGCUGAAGACCGGUCAUGGAGGAUCAAUUCUGAGGGCUUGAGUAGAAAAGGCUUGUGAAGGGGCCGGGUGCGGUGGCUCAAGCCUGUAAUCCCAGCACUUUGGGAGGCCAAGGCGGGUGGAUCAUGAGGUCAACAGAUCGAGACCAUCCUGGUCAACAUGGUGAAACCCCAUCUCUACUAAAAAUACAAAAAAUUAGCUGGGCACGGUGGUGUGUGCCUGUAAUCCCAGCUACUCAGGAGGCUGAGGCAGGAGAAUUGCCUUAACCCAGGAGGCGGAGGUUGCGGUGAGCCGGGAUUCUGCCAUUGCACUCCAGCCUGGGUAACAAGAGCGAAACUGUCUCAAAAAGAAAAAAGCAAAAAAGAAAAGGCUUGUGAAGGAGGGAAGUGGCCACAGUGAGGUGUCAUGACCACUCCAAUGCCAGGAGCAACAUGAAGGCCUGUUACCAGGUGAUAUUUAUUGAAAAUGAGGUUUAGAAGCAGAUUCCCAAUGAAAAAAUAAUGAAUGAGUUAGGAUCCUGAGACAGGUUUGUUCCAUUAGCACCCAAUGAACAUUUGCUUAGGUGUGGACAGGAUUUCCUUUGGGUAACUGAAGUGUCCUUUGCAUGCAUAAACUACGCACGUUGUAAGCUGACAUCUUCACUAAUAAUUACCUAUGCUCUUGUCAGGCUACAAGAGUGAGGCAUUUUUCACUAAGAAUGUGGACACUAAUAAGGGAGAGACAUGUACCUAGGGAAACCCACACACAGCCAGGCACAGUCAAGGUCACACUACACACAUUCACAGACACACACCACUCCCAUGCACACAACCCCACCCCACAGACAGAGAACGCUGUUGCUCUCAGGGACCGCAGAAUGUGCCCAUCGAUCCUUAUCUGGAACAGCCACUUCUCCCAUCACGGCCUAGGUCCUCAUUCACAACAGGAAGCUCAACUCCCGCUGCCUGUGUACAGGAAAGCCAGCGAGACACACGUUCCUCAUCAUCUGGAUUAUUCAUCCACACGGGAGGAUUCCCCCAUACGUACCCCUUUUCCGGCCUCCUGUGGCCUCCUGUAAUGACAGAAAACAUUGCCUGAGCACCAGCCCAUGCUGUGUCCUGUGUGCACAGGUCUUUUCCUCACUUGUUGACACUAGGAAUCAGAUGGCAAAAGGUGCUCAACUCAAAGGAACCCAAAAGAAGAACAGGACAAACCCACUCAUGCUAACGACACAAGUUUUUCUUGGAGGGUGUUUCCUCUAAGUCCAUGCCGCUUGGCAAUUAAGUGACUUAGUUCCAAGGAGAUAAUCAAGUGUCUAAGGAAAAAGGUCAUAGCCACUCAAUGUGUGGCUGAUGCUGCCAUUUUCUCCUCCUAACAUUGAGCCUCAGUGAGGAACACUCACUCGAAAUUGUCCCCACCAAAGACACUGUAUAAGUCAGCUAUAAUCAUAUAAUCAUAUCUUAUUUUAAUUCAAUUAGAUAAAGUUAAGAAAGAACUUUUUGUCAGACAAAGCCAGGUGGCCUGACCUUAACAGAUGAUGAGGCUUCGCCACUUGAUGUUCUGUCGGCGAGGUGACCCUUUAGUGACGCAAUCCAGUCAGCUGGGAGGACACAAAGUGACUGUUAGCAGGUGCAGGGAGGAGCAGGGAAGAAAGAUUUUCUAGAAUAGAGUACAGCAUUCAGGGCAGGCUGUGUGUCCGGGCAGCCUCUCAGGGCUCCUGCCUCCUAAUCUGACCUGAGCUCACUUGCCCUCCCUUUCUGGGUCCUUCCAAAGUCAUUUCAUCUCUAGAAUCCACCCAAGAGGGAAAAAUAAAAUUAAGUUAAAAAGCAACCUUUUCUUAAAGAGAAUAUUUAAUUAUAACCAAAAUACUCUAUUUAUUCACUAACCAUUUGUUUUUAGGACAAUGAAUCAAAUCUUUGAAAAUCUGUUUUCCUCCCAUUUAAAGGUGACCCCUAUUUAGCACGUGCUAUCUGUCCUUCCACUCUGUUUUCCAUACACCAUGUGUGUGUGUCUGCGGAGUUCGUUACUGCUCACACUCACACUUGCUUUGACGCUGGGACAGCCUGUCCUGGGGGCAGAACGUGGGGGUGCUGACCCUCUCUAACCCAGCUUUUAGAGAUUCCAGAGGGAAGGUGGGCACCAAGCUAACACCCUGUCUCUUGGUGUCUGUGUUACUAAGCUGGAGCAUUUCUAAGGCUGUGGUCAUCAUGAUUUUUCUUUUGGUUUGGUUUGAUUUUCUGUGACAGGAUCUCACUCUGUUUCCCAGAUGGAGUGCAAUGGCACAAUCAUCGCUCAGUGAAGACUCAACCUGUCCGGCCAAAGCAAUCCUCCAGCCUCAGCCUCCUGAGGAACUGGGACUUCAGGAGCACAUCACCACACCUGACUAAUUUUUGUACUUUUUGUAAAGAUGUGGUUUUUACUGCGUUGCCCAGGCUGAUCUUAAACUCCUGGGCUCAAGUGAUCCUCCUGCCUCAACCUCCCAAAGUGCUGGGAUUACAGGCAUCAGCCUCCCCACUGGGUCCAAUCAUAUUUUUAAAUACAACAGGAUAUGUCCCUGAUUAUUCUCUGCUUUUGAACAGGAGCUGAGAAAUGACCCCACCACUGCAGCCAAAAGCCUGACUCCCCAUGUAUGUUUCACAUUAAUGACCACCCCAAAGUCCACCGUACUGCUACCUUGCCUUUCAUCAUCAUUGACAACAUCCUGUAUUCAUGGCUAGCAUUUGGGACCUCUCUAGGCUGUCAUCCUUCCCCAUGCACACACAGAUGCUGGCACUCCCUGGUGUGGUGACGAGUUAUAUCAGGGCCACUCAAGGCCUGCAGAGUAGCAGCCCAUCACAUCAACCUUUCACCCAUUCCUGAGUUCACAUUUGCCUUUUCCAUUCAGGAAACAGUUCAUUUCUCCACCCUCUCCAAUCUGAGGACUGGGGAUAUUAAACAAACCUUCAGGUAUAGCAGUAAUGAAGCAUGAAAGUGUUGACUGAUGUCGAGUGUGCAGCGGGGAUGGGAUUUGGUUUCUAGAACACUGAUCCUUGGAUCGUGCUUUGCACAGAGGACCACGGUUUGUAGAGAAAUGCACACACGCUCCCAAAGACAUUCCCCAUCACUCCACACAGACUCUCUCCUCCAUGCCUCCCCACCCUGAUGCACCCCCGUUCCUAUUUAAAUGACAUCACUGCUUCUGGGAACUAGAGUGCAUGGCCACAGUUGUUAACUAAGUUCUCCAUUUUUUUUACACCAAACCACCCAAACCUAAUUUCCAGCAGGAAGCUCAAAUUCGUGUGACUCUCCAGCAAGAGCAGGGAGGAAUGUGUCCCCUUUCUUACAAUUCUCCAUGAGCAAAGGGGUGAUCCUAUGGUACGUACCAUGCUUCUGCAUAGCUGAUAUCAUCUGCAGAGAGAAAGGAAAACACCGUCAGCCUCAGACCAUGCUGUGUCCCAUGUGCAUGGGUUUCCUCACUUGGUGACAUUAGAAAACCAGUUGGGAAAUAGUUCUCAAGUCAAUAACCCUCAUAUAAAAAACCUAGAGGACACUUGCAGAAAGGCACAAGAAUUUUUUGUAAGAUUUUCAAAAUGAUUUUGUUGCAAAGUCAUCACUAGUUUCCAGAAGAAUGCAUUUCCCCUGAAAAAAAUGCUCUGCCAUGCAGUUUGUCAGUGAAGCUGUCCUCUCUGGGUGCCAUCUGGAACAAGUUCCAAGUUGGUAAUGGACACUCACAUACCUUUGCCCACCAGAAAAUUCUGUAACUCAUCUAUAAUGUUCAUGGUAAGAUUUGUAUAUUUUAAUUCAAAAUAAAAUUAAAAAAAAAAAUUCC